CAGCUGACGGUUGCUGAGGCAGGGAAAAGACACAUCCCUUCCACGCCGCUGUGUCCAGGAGCAGAGAGGUGGAGGCCUAGAUGUUGACAUGCACCAGUAAAACUGGUUCUGCUGACAUAGGCAGUCCUUCCAAAGCCAACCGUCCUCCAUCAGGUCCUCAGCAGCUCUUUAGGCACGGGGCUCGCAGCCUCAGCUGGUGGCUAAACGUUUCUGUCCCGUGUGGAGGCCUGAGCAUCC